GCCAGCGUGGUGUAGUAGUUCGAGUGCUGAACUACAACUCUGGAGACCAGGGUUCAAAUCCCUGCUUGACC